rnacentral:rRNA from 1 species
GUCAGCCGCCGCGGUAACACCGGCGGCCCGAGUGGUGAUCGUGAUUAUUGGGUCUAAAGGGUCCGUAGCCGGUUUGGUCAGUCCUCCGGGAAAUCUGAUAGCUCAACUAUUAGGCUUUCGGGGGAUACUGCCAGACUUGGAACCGGGAGAGGUAAGAGGUACUACAGGGGUAGGAGUGAAAUCUUGUAAUCCCUGUGGGACCACCUGUGGCGAAGGCGUCUUACCAGAACGGGUUCGACGGUGAGGGACGAAAGCUGGGGGCACGAACCGGAUUAGAUACCCGGGUAGUCCCAGCCGUAAACGAUGCUCGCUAGGUGUCAGGCAUGGCGCGACCGUGUCUGGUGCCGCAGGGAAGCCGUGAAGCGAGCCACCUGGGAAGUACGGCCGCAAGGCUGAAACUUAAAGGAAUUGGCGGGGAAGCACAACAACGGGUGGAGCCCUGCGGUUUAAUUGGACUCAACGCCGGACAACUCACCGGGGGCGACAGCAAUAUGUAGGCCAAGCUGAAGACUUUGCCUGAAUCGCUGAGAAGAGGUGCAUGG